GACGAACGCUGGCGGCGUGCUUAACACAUGCGAGUCGAACGGAAAGGCCCUGCUUUUGUGGGGUGCUCGAGUGGCGAACGGGUGAGUAACACGUGAGUAACCUGCCCUUGACUUUGGGAUAACUUCAGGAAACUGGGGCUAAUACCGGAUAGGAGCUCCUGCUGCAUGGUGGGGGUUGGAAAGUUUCGGCGGUUGGGGAUGGACUCGCGGCUUAUCAGCUUGUUGGUGGGGUAGUGGCUUACCAAGGCUUUGACGGGUAGCCGGCCUGAGAGGGUGACCGGCCACAUUGGGACUGGGGUACGGCCCCGACUCCUUCGGGAGGCAGCCGUGGGGAAUAUUGCCCAAUGGGCGGAAGCCUGAUGCAGCCACGCCGCGUGCGGGAUGACGGCCUUCGGGUUGUAAACCGCUUUCGCCUGUGACGAAGCGUGAGUGACGGUAAUGGGUAAAGAAGCACCGGCUAACUACGUG
rnacentral:rRNA from 1 species